UGAUUUCUCUCUCUUUCUCCUGUGCAAUUGGGAAGCGAAGAGGUUUUUUGUGGACUUUUGGAGGUGGAUUUGGGAGAAGCUAGGGUUUCUUUGGGAGUCUUAGAGGAAGAAGAGCUUCAACGACCAAUACAAUAUCCAGAAUUAUUUGAGAGAACUCAUAAACGGUCAAAAGGAAGUGGUGAUUUUGUAGACAAUAAAUCCAAAGUUGUUAGUGAGAAAUAUCAAUCUACAUUAUCUGAAAAAUAUGGUGAUAAUACUUCUGAUCGUCCUGAGUUUGAUCCAGAAGCAUGGGCGUCAUCAAUUGGAGGAAAGAUGGCUACACGCACGCAUGUAUAUGGGUUUGGCACCAUGGUUAAUUCUAAAGCAUUAUUUGAUACUACUUCUAGUGCAGCUGCAUGCACAACUAACUCAGUUUGUGGUCCUUCCACUAGUACUCCGCAUAUGAAUACUUCUCUUAAUGAUGAUAAAAUUGUGAGUUUAGAGGAGAAGCUUGAAUCAUUGACCGGUGAUGUGAGUCAAAUGAAGAAUGCUAUAGGUGAUAUAAGCGAUUUGAAAAAUCAAUUUCAGAUUAUGAUGAGUUUCAUGAUGGAGAAAUUUGGAUCAAAUAUGCCUCCAUCAACAACUAAAUGAUUUUAGGAAGACAUUUGGGCAAGAAGAUGGGAAUAAAAACUCAAGGACAAUGGUCAAGAAGAGGGAACAAAAAAAAACUCAAGGUAAUUCAAUGUAUGCUAAUGAUGGAUCUUUGCUUAACUUUGUUUGUUGGUGAUAAUUGUAUUGAUGGAUUAGAAAAUUGUUGAUGAUGGAUUUUUCAUUGUGAUGUAAUGUUGGAACAUUUGUAUGGAUUAUUUGUAUUUUUGGUAUGA